CCUUCAAUAGCUCAGUUGGUAGAGCGGAGGACUGUAGAUCCUUAGGUCGCUGGUUCGAAUCCGGCUCGAAGGA